rnacentral:rRNA from 1 species
AUUGAACGCUGGCGGCAGGCUUAACACAUGCAAGUCGAGCGGGCAUCUUCGGGUGUCAGCGGCGGACGGGUGAGUAACGCGUGGGAACGUGCCUUCUGGUUCGGAAUAACUCAGGGAAACUUGAGCUAAUACCGGAUACGCCCUUUUGGGGAAAGGUUUACUGCCGGAAGAUCGGCCCGCGUCUGAUUAGCUAGUUGGUGGGGUAACGGCCUACCAAGGCGACGAUCAGUAGCUGGUCUGAGAGGAUGAUCAGCCACACUGGGACUGAGACACGGCCCAGACUCCUACGGGAGGCAGCAGUGGGGAAUAUUGGACAAUGGGGGCAACCCUGAUCCAGCCAUGCCGCGUGAGUGAUGAAGGCCUUAGGGUUGUAAAGCUCUUUUAUCCGGGACGAUAAUGACGGUACCGGAGGAAUAAGCCCCGGCUAACUUCGUGCCAGCAGCCGCAGUAA